rnacentral:SRP_RNA from 1 species
UUGCAAUGGGUAAGUUCUACACAACCAGCUCCUGCCAAAUCCCCCAGGGUGGGAACGCAGCAAGGGUAGGCGGUUGUAGCGGUGUGAUGUAGGUCGCUUACCCUUUU